rnacentral:rRNA from 1 species
UACGGGGGGAGCAAGCGUUGUUCGGAUUUACUGGGCGUAAAGAGCGCGCAGGCGGUCGUUCAAGUCGAGUGUGAAAGCCCCCGGCUCAACCGGGGAGGGUCAUUGGAAACUGGGGAACUUGAGUGCAGAAGAGGAAAGUGGAAUUCCACGUGUAGCGGUGAAAUGCGUAGAGAUGUGGAGGAACACCAGUGGCGAAGGCGACUUUCUGGUCUGUAACUGACACUGAGGCGCGAAAGCGUGGGGAGCGAACAGG